GCGAGCGAAAAAAAAAUAGAAAGGUUCAAUCGGCAACCACGUAAUCGCACCCUUAAUUACCGCUAACUGCCCACCCAAUCCCACCUCGAAAUUAGCGCUAACCCAAAAUUUAACCCUCCCAGAUCUUGGUCUCAGGAAAUCCACCGGGGCGUCCCUGCCCCAUCCGGCCGCCUCCUCCAUGGCGACUGGCUCCCAUCCGGCCGCCUCCUCCAUGGCGAGAACCGUGUCCAGAGGAGGACCAUCACGACCAUGAGUUCCCCGUCGUCGUCUCUCUCCGUGCUUAACCGGCUAGAUCUUGUUGGCCUCAAGCAGCACCACCAACAGGAUCCAGGCGAGCAUGCGGCUGCUCCUCCACCGUCAUGUGACGCGUGUAGUGGCCGUUCACCGGGAGAGACCGAGCUCCACGAUCACCACCACUCACUUGAUGUGCAUGUCCACACGCCAUCGACAAGUCGACCCGCGAAAGAAGCUGGCCCUACCGAUCAGGAUGACAUCGAUGAGGAGGAAGCAAUGGUGUGACGUCAUGGAUCCCACCUGUAAGUGCGUGAGUGUGUGGCUACAGUUUUCUACAAUAUUGUGAAAACCACGAUGUGUUUGGCAGUCACGGUAUUUGCCACUAUAUUUGGUGAUCCGGUCAUCAAUAUGUUCAUGUUCUACAACCCUAUCGGCCCCGGGCAAAGAAUCACACACUUUAUCAUAGGCGAGGACUGGUCGUGGCUAUAUGCAAGUGUGGUCGCCGACACCCAGGCAGGCUCAACGUAUCGCAUGCAUACACGGGCUCUUUUCUUCAUACUAUGCACCUUGAAUUCUGUGAGAUAUACACGUACAUUGCUCCCAAGUACAUUGCUCCCAAGUCAUAUAGAGGUUAAUGCUCAAUCUUUGUUUCAUUUUUAAGAAACUAAUUGGUGAUGCUUUGUACAUAAUAGUCAGGAUCUGGUUCACAUGACUAUGUUGCCCUGCAUAAAUGAUCUUCACCACUCUUUAUACCCUUUUAUAUAUUGUUUGACAUUUGUACUUUUCUAUCUGCAGAUGAGUAAGAGAAGAAAAAUGAAUGUGCCCCUGUUUACAUCAAGAGAAUGUACCCCAUAUAAGGACCUAACAAACACAACUAUGGAUGGUAGUGCUAAUAUCCCACAUAAUCAAACGGACGAUCCUAAAAGGAAAAGUGUUCAAUCAUGGUAUGCCAAUGUCGGAUGAGAAGAAAGCGGAAUACAACGCGAAGUGUCAUAUAUCCUGACAACAAACGAGAGUUGCAGCUCUAGACUGUCUUAACCAGGACCAAUUAUCACAAACAUGUGUUUCUCCGUUAGACUGUGCUAUGGUUCAUCUCUACAACAGUUUCCCUAUCUAACAUCAUGUGUAUCUAAGUGCAGCUUCUGGUCAGGCCCCACUUGUUUCUGGCGAUCCCAGGUUCCAGUCAAAUGCAAUAGGAUAUGUAAUGCUUAUUUGUCACAUUCAUUCAUUAUGUACUAACUCUUCUCUCCUGUGACGGUAAUGUGUCACAAAUUCAUCAAAAAAUGUGCCACUCCCUCUGAUGCUCCCUCAUGGUGCUAGAAGAACUCCCAGGUCAGAAAAAUUAUCACGGUUGCUUCAACAUUUAUCUCUUCGAGCUGUAAUAAGAGUUUUGCGACAAGGCUGCCUUGCAAUAUAAUGUACGACCGUAUUAUUUUCUAAAGAUUUUGUAUUGCCUGACCAUUAAUUUGGCUUCAAAUGCUCCUGAUGAGGCUUGAAAGUUCAUUAAGUGUGGUAAGACCACUCUCACAUUCAGGUU